UUGGUUUCUUCUUGGUGAUAGUUUUGUUUGAAGUCUUGUUGCUGGUUGUGCUUAGGAUUGUGUUGAUUGAGUUUGGAUUCUUCUUAGUGAUAGCCUAGUUUGAAGUCUUAUGGUUGGUUUUGGUUGGGAUUGUGAAUUUGUGUGUUGGGUUCUUCUUGGUGAUAUUCUAGUUUGGAGUCUUGGAGUUGGUUAUGUUUGGGAUUUUGCUGGUUAGGAUUGUGUACAUUGGGAUUGUGCAGGUUGGGAUGGUUGU
rnacentral:lncRNA from 1 species